UGCGUAGGCGGCCCGGGAAGUUGGGUGUGAAAGCCCUCGGCUCAACCGAGGAAUUGCGCCCAAAACUGCCGGGCUUGAGGGAGAUAUAGGUGAGCGGAACUUAGGGUGGAGCGGUGAAAUGCGUUGAGAUCCUAAGGAACACCAGUAGCGAAAGCGGCUCACUGGGUCUCUACUGACGCUGAAGCACGAAAGCUAGGGGAGCGAAGAGGAUUAGAUACCCUCGUAGUCCUAGCUGUAAACAAUGAGCACUGGUUUGGAGGGUCCUCCAUAGCCUUCCAGACGUAGCGAAAGUGUUAAGUGCUCCGCCUGGGGAGUAUGGUCGCAAGGCUGAA
rnacentral:rRNA from 1 species